rnacentral:misc_RNA from 1 species
CGAAAACGGGGCACCCACUCCUCUUUCCACAGCUCCCUCUCUCCAGCCUAUCGUUUCCUUUGAUGACAACGGCAAGUAUCGGGUGGGUUUUGCCUCGCCCCUUUUCUGAAGUGCGCCAGCGCUUGCUCAGUGCCGCUGCACGCACAGACGUGUGCGUGUACGACCUCUGAUUUGCCGUCACCCUUCCUGUGCUUUCCAUCACUGCAGUCUUUUUUUGUAUUUCACCGUCGGUGCGCUCUUCUGUUGCUCUCAGUCAAUUUCACCCUGAAGGCGGGCGGCAGAGGAGCGCAGCAUCUCAGGGUCCAGCGCCUCAUCUGUGGGCCAGCCCUGCAGACCCCCUCCCCCUCCCCCCGUAUGUCCCCGCGAACGCACAGCUGCAUGUGGUGGUGACAGGCUCAAAAGUACCCCCACGGCGUGGGGGUGGAGGUGAGAGCGAUUCAGCGGUGCUGAUAUGCCGGCGUUGAUGCCGUGGAUGGCGCUGCGUCGCAGCGAGCUGCGGCCGUGGGCACGCUUGUGCCAUGCCUAGGAUAGAAGGCAAGCGUGCCCGCGUGGCUCGCACGUACCUCCUUGGGCCGCCUCACUGGCCGCUGGUGUGAUGGGAGCCUGAGCUACCCCCCAGACAGAGUGAGUGAGAGAGAGGGGUGCGCCAGGUGGCGACCAGCACAGCGGGAGCGACCCGUGAGGCGACCUGGGGGGUGGGUGGGCGGGCUUGGGGCUGAGGCAGAGACCGUGCUCGGGUGGCCGCGUCGGCGCAGGGUGCUGUGUGGGGCGCCCGCGUGUCUAGCGCUGCUCGGCACCACGCGAUGGGUUGUAGGGAAGUCAUGUCGAGAUGAGCUUAGAUCAUUCUCGGUGGAGGGUUUGACGAGUUGGCGAACAGAAAAGACUGAGCCAGGGUCUCCUCGAUGCGUGCGCUUCCGGAGUGGAAGCGAUUGCCUUUUUGCCCAGCCCUCAAGGAUGACAUCAAAGUCACAGAGAUGCUCACAAAUAUGCGUGCCUGUCGGAACGUGUCUGUGUGUCUUACGUGUGUGCGGCGGAGGCGUAGAUGAAGUGCAGAGCAGAGCUGCAUUAAAGCAAGAUAUGCAGCCACAGUCGUCCAUUUUAGGUGUUCUAAUCUGCUAGCAGCUGGACACUUGCCUCACGGCGGUGAGUCGCCAGGCGCGCGCAGCCCCUGCCUGCUCUCUGUUUCCGCCUUUCUACCGUGCUUGCGCGAAGGCGGGCGGCCUAGACGACGCCACGGCCUCUCUCUGGAUAUCUCGCAAUGGCGUUGUUGGCUAGAUGGCAACGGAAUCGGUGCGAGGUUGUCCGCAGACAGCAUCGGUUUCGUCCUCUUUUCUCUGUCCAUAUACUCGGAAGCUGGCCCUUGUCUCUUCUGUAG